AGAAUAUUAAACAAAUAUAAUUAAAGAAAAUAUAUACUGCCCAUUUAAUUAUUUUAUUAUAAUAUUACAUAUAUAUAUAUAUUGUUGACAAAGCAUCACUAUUAAUUGAACUCUGCUCAGAAUCAGUUUUUCGUUAGCAAUGGUUUAUCGUUGCUUACAAAUAUACAUUAAAUUCUGUACUAUAUCCUACCUUCCCAACUUCCACCUACAACAGUGAACUGCACCCAUGUGCGAAAUAUAUCCAUUUUUUUAAUAAUACUUUUUGUCCUUAGCCACCCUUGUCCUAAAAUUUUACUUACCUACCUGAUCUCUCUCCUCAUAUACACCGACUAUCUUCACAUCAUUCUCAAUCCCAUCCCAUUCCCUUUUUUCGACCUUCCUUUCCCCUCAUGACAUGUUCAAACCACCUCAGUCUAUUUUCUCUCAAUGUAUUUACUAUCAAAGUCACGCCUAAGCUACAUCUCUGUACUAAUUUCUUAUACUAUAUCUUCUCCUCACUCCAGUCAUCCACCAAAGAAUUCUCAUUUUUGCUACAUUCGUUGUUUGUUCUAUUUUGCUGUCUACCUACCAAGUACCAACACUUCCAACCAUACAAAAAUUGGUUUCACCACACUUUUUUAAAACUUACUUUAAGUCUGUUUAUCACAUAAAACACUUGAUGCAUAUUUCCACUUUAUCCAAUUACAUUUAUAAUUCUAUGUUUUACUCAUCAAAACCACCAUUCUUUUGUAAACAAAAUCCUAGGUACUUAAAUUAAAAUUCUAAACCUCAUCUAUUAUAUUAUCGCUUAUUGUCAUUAGCUUUCUUGAUCUAUUCUUUCAAACUCAUACUCUAUAUAAUUUAUUUUACUUCUACUUAUCCUUCAAUUGCUCUCCAUUCCUCUGUCUGUUGUUAACUAGUUCCAGAUUUUCUUUUAUUAAUGUUGUAUUAUCUACAAACAUCCUGCUCUAUGGUACUCCCUCUCACUUGUUGUCCCAGCGCCCAUUCGAUAUGGGAUAGUCCACCCAAGUCUUGUUUAGAACGCCUCAUACUAUUUGACAAAAUUUUACAUUGGCUGUCGACUUGGCUUAACCCAUUUGUUGCCUCUCACGGUACCUAGUUAGAAAUCCGGUGGAAAUAUUUUGAUUCCCUUCCUCAGGGAGUGUACCUACACGAAAAUACAAUUUUUUAUGUAUACAUUUUAGAAAAUUGGAAAAAUAAAAAAUUGACCUGCUUAAAGUAUCACUCUAAUCAAAGUUCCUUUCAGAAAAAAUGCUGUACUUGAAAAUCUGAGUAAAAUUUCUGGCAGAAAAGUUGUUCGCAGAAAAAAAAAAAUUAAUAAACAUUAUUGUGUUUACCACACAUAAAAGAGCAAAUAUACGUUUUCUGUAGAAAUUUCAUAUCAACGAAUAUCUAUUAGCUAUAUCUAACUGAAUUUGAUUAAAAUAUGAUGGACAUACUUCGCACGUGGGUGGACUACCGUUGUAGGUGAGUUUUUGGGAUGGUAAUAGAGGGAAAAUUGAAUGUAUAUCUGUACGCAAUGAUUAACUAUUGUUAACUAUUAACUAUUAUUAACUGAGUUCGAUUAAUAGUUUUGCUUUGUCAACAAUAUAUGUCGUAUUACGGUAAAAUAAUUUCAUAUAUA
rnacentral:lncRNA from 1 species